GGAAUAUUGGUCAAUGGAGGCAACUCUGAACCAGCCAUGCCGCGUGCAGGAUGACGGUCCUAUGGAUUGUAAACUGCUUUUGUACAGGAAGAAACCGCUCUACGUGUAGAGCCUUGACGGUACUGUAAGAAUAAGGAUCGGCUAACUCCGUGCCAGCAGCCGCGGUAAUACGGAGGAUCCAAGCGUUAUCCGGAAUCAUUGGGUUUAAAGGGUCCGUAGGCGGCUUAGCAAGUCAGUGGUGAAAUCUCCCCGCUCAACGGGGAAACGGCCAUUGAUACUACUAGGCUUGAAUUAUUAGGAAGUAACUAGAAUAUGUAGUGUAGCGGUGAAAUGCUUAGAUAUUACAUGGAAUACCAAUUGCGAAGGCAGGUUACUACUAAUUGAUUGACGCUGAUGGACGAAAGCGUGGGGAGCGAACAGGAUUAGAUACCCGUG
rnacentral:rRNA from 1 species